AACUUUUAACAAUGGAUCUCUAGGCUCUCACACCGAUGAAGAACACAGUGAAAUGUGAUAAGUAAUGUGAAUUGCAGAAUUCAGUGAAUCAUUGAAUCUUUGAACGCACCUUGCACCUUUUGGUAUUCCAAGAGGUACACCUGUUUGAGUGUCAU
rnacentral:rRNA from 1 species